GGUGAACGCUGGCGGCAUGGAUAAGGCAUGCAAGUCGAAUGCAUUUAGUUGCAUGGCAAACGGGGUAGUAACAGGUAGGAACGUACCCAGAAGUCGCGAAUAACCUCAAGAAAUUGAGAAUAAUACGCGAUAGUCUCGCAAGAGUAAAGAUUUAUCGCUUCUGGAGCGGCCUGCUUAGUAUCAGCUAGUUGGUAAGGUAAUGGCUUACCAAGGCUACGACGCUUAGGGGAGGUGAGAGCCUGACCCCCACCAUUGGAACUUAGACACGGUCCAA
rnacentral:rRNA from 1 species